AUGUCUGAUGAUCUGAGGUGGAGCUGAGGCGGUGAUGCUAGCGUUGGGGAGUGGCUGCAAACACAGAUUAGCAUUAGCAGAGAGGUUUGACUACACGGAGGCCAUAAUGAAUCAAUUGCUUGCAGAUGCAUAUCAAAACCCUAUCAGAGAGUGGCAAGUGAAAACAAGCUCGGGGCUCCCACCGAUUCUGCAUUAUGGAAACCAGUCCCUGGAGCCCUAAAGGCUGGGGACCGCUGAUUUAGAAGAGUCCUCUUGAAGAACAACAAUAACAAUCCAGCUUCCAGCCGCACUUGCCUCUGUCUACAGUUGCUGACACACAGCUCCUAGAACACUUGGAAAUCUCCAGAGGAGUGAUGAGUGUCUUUCGUAUGCUGGAGGAGGACUGUAUCUCGCUCAUCCAGCCAAGCACUGUGCCUUGCACACACAGCUCAUUAAACAUUCAGUGAAUCAUCAAAAGUGAAUGAGAAUGGCCUGAUAACCUUCACACAGCUUGCACAGGGUCAGACAGUUGGACACUGAUAUCUGAAGGAUAUGAAUCCAUCCUUGCCCCUACUUGCUGGCCACUGCCUAACAUGGCCACGGCCACCUAGGAAUGAAGCUGCUUCUACAAGAACCUUUCCGCCAUCGUUUUCAUUUUGAACUUUUUGCACCCCUCUCUUGUAUCCCAGAGGAUUUCUUUUUAAUGAAUGGUGGAAAAAAGGAUUUGAUGAGAGAAUUCUGCAUUCAUGACACAUUUUUGGAAAAGCACAUAUCCAAUAUUGUAGGAGCAACCUAUAGCUCUUCUUGUUACUAAAAAGGCAAGCCUCCAAUGCUGCUAAAAUCAAAACAUCAAACAACUCUCCGCUUCUUAGCAACAGCAUACCAAGUGAUUUUCCCUUUGUUUUUUCUGGCAUGAGGGCCACCCCUGCCAGAGAGAAGCAAGUGCUCAUGACUUUGCUACCCAAACACAGUUUUGAAGACAGAUAUAUGAACCAUUGGGAACUCUCCACACUCUGCUUCUGGGGAAACAGAAGGGCAAGCCAGGAGUGACAGCAGCCAGCCCCAUCUGGGAGCCAGAGUCGGAGCUCUGGCUUUCCCCUCUGCCACCAGGAAGGGUCUUUGGCUGGGCUAUGUUGUUUAAUCUGGAGGGCGGCUUUCCUAGGAUCAACACCAGAACAAGACCGGAAGAUGACUAGAAAACCACCCUGGGGUCAUAUGGCUUUCCUUGCUCCGUAUAUCUGGAAAGUUCACAGAAGCAAGUGAAGGCAUCUCAGGCUUGUUAGUGCCUGGGAAUCGGCAGGAAAGGCUAC